UGGGGAAUAUUGCACAAUGGGCGAAAGCCUGAUGCAGCGACGCCGCGUGAGGGAUGACGGCCUUCGGGUUGUAAACCUCUUUCAGCAGGGACGAAGCGCAAGUGACGGUACCUGCAGAAGAAGCACCGGCUAACUACGUGCCAGCAGCCGCGGUAAUACGUAGGGUGCAAGCGUUGUCCGGAAUUACUGGGCGUAAAGAGUUCGUAGGCGGUUUGUCGCGUCGUUUGUGAAAACCAGCAGCUCAACUGCUGGCUUGCAGGCGAUACGGGCAGACUUGAGUACUGCAGGGGAGACUGGAAUUCCUGGUGUAGCGGUGAAAUGCGCAGAUAUCAGGAGGAACACCGGUGGCGAAGGCGGGUCUCUGGGCAGUAACUGACGCUGAAGAACGAAAGCGUGGGUAGCGAACAGG
rnacentral:rRNA from 1 species